UUAAGUGACUAAGCGUACAAGGUGGAUGCCUUGGCAAUCAGAGGCGACGAAGGACGUGCUAAUCUGCGAAAAGCUUGGAUGAGUCGAUAAGAGGCGUUUAAUCCAAGAUGUCCGAAUGGGGAAACCCAGUAGAUGAAGAAUCUACUAUCACUUACUGAAUCCAUAGGUAAGUGAGGCAAACCGGGAGAACUGAAACAUCUAAGUACCCCGAGGAAAAGAAAUCAACCGAGAUUUCGUUAGUAGCGGCGAGCGAACGCGAAGGAGCCUGUUAGUGAUAAUGACAUAGACAGAGGAACAAGCUGGGAAGCUUGGCGAUACAGGGUGAUAGCCCCGUACUCGAAGUCCAGGUCAUGGUACUAAGCUAACGACAAGUAGGGCGGGACACGUGAUAUCCUGUUUGAAGAUGGGGGGACCAUCCUCCAAGGCUAAAUACUCCUGAUUGACCGAUAGUGAACCAGUACUGUGAAGGAAAGGCGAAAAGAACCCCGGUGAGGGGAGUGAAAUAGAACCUGAAACCUUGUACGUACAAGCAGUGGGAGCCCUUUAAGGGUGACUGCGUACCUUUUGUAUAAUGGGUCAGCGACUUAUAUUUUGUAGCGAGGUUAACCGAAUAGGGGAGCCGAAGGGAAACCGAGUCUUAACUGGGCGUCUAGUUGCAAGGUAUAGACCCGAAACCCGGUGAUCUAGCCAUGGGCAGGUUGAAGGUUGGGUAACACUAACUGGAGGACCGAACCGACUAAUGUUGAAAAAUUAGCGGAUGACUUGUGGCUGGGGGUGAAAGGCCAAUCAAACCGGGAGAUAGCUGGUUCUCCCCGAAAUCUAUUUAGGUAGAGCCUUGAGCGGACACCUUCGGGGGUAGAGCACUGUUUCGGCUAGGGGUCCAUCCCGGAUUACCAACCCGAUGCAAACUACGAAUACCGAAGAGUGAUACUCAGGAGACACACGGCGGGUGCUAACGUCCGUCGUGGAGAGGGAAACAACCCAGACCGCCAGCUAAGGUCCCAAAGUCUAUAUUAAGUGGGAAACGAAGUGGGAAGGCUUAGACAGCUAGGAUGUUGGCUUAGAAGCAGCCAUCAUUUAAAGAAAGCGUAAUAGCUCACUAGUCGAGUCGGCCUGCGCGGAAGAUGUAACGGGGCUCAAAUAUAGCACCGAAGCUGCGGCAUCAGUAGCAAUACUGUUGGGUAGGGGAGCGUUCUGUAAGCGGAUGAAGAUGGCUCGAGAGGGCUGUUGGACGUAUCAGAAGUGCGAAUGCUGACAUAAGUAACGAUAAAACGGGUGAAAAACCCGUUCGCCGGAAGACCAAGGGUUCCUGUCCAACGUUAAUCGGGGCAGGGUGAGUCGGCCCCUAAGGCGAGGCUGAAAAGCGUAGUCGAUGGGAAACGGGUUAAUAUUCCCGUACUUGGAUAAACUGCGAUGUGGGGACGGAGUAGGUUAGGUUAUCGCACUGUUGGAUAUGUGCGUUUAAGUUGGUAGGUGUGAAGUUUAGGCAAAUCCGGACUUCUUUAACACUGAGAGAUGAUGACGAGGCUCUACGGAGCUGAAGUAACCGAUACCACACUUCCAGGAAAAGCCACUAAGCUUCAGGUUUAUCUAAACCGUACUGAAAACCGACACAGGUGGUCAGGUAGAGAAUACUCAGGCGCUUGAGAGAACUCGGGUGAAGGAACUAGGCAAAAUAGCACCGUAACUUCGGGAGAAGGUGCGCCGGCGUAGAUUGUAGUCCCUUGCGGAUGAAGGUUGAACCGGUCGAAGAUACCAGCUGGCUGCAACUGUUUAUUAAAAACACAGCACUCUGCAAACACGAAAGUGGACGUAUAGGGUGUGAUGCCUGCCCGGUGCUGGAAGGUUAAUUGAUGGUGUAAUCGAAAGAGAAGCUCCUGAUCGAAGCCCCAGUAAACGGCGGCCGUAACUAUAACGGUCCUAAGGUAGCGAAAUUCCUUGUCGGGUAAG
rnacentral:rRNA from 1 species